CUUCAGUGACGCUCAUUUAUCUUUGAGAAACAGACUGAUUUAAAAGGAGUUUAAGGUUUUGAAGAGUAUUUUUCAACUCGAGUAACUCCCGUUAGGCGAACUUCGAAAGGCAACACUCUCUGCGAUAAAGAUCAUAUAUAAAAAAUGAUCAUGGCAAGGCGAGAGUUCGCGUUUCUUCUUUUGUCCCUGAUAGUUCUUUCUAUCUGUGAGUUACCCAAACAUCCACGCAUUUUAAGGAAGAAAGCAGUUGACUUACAGAAUGUCAGGACGGAGAUGACAUCGGUCAAAAAGUUUCAAGAUGCAAUUCCAAGUGCGCCACUUGUCUCCAAACUCGAAACACGCUCGGCAGAGGCAUCUUCUACCGAUAAAGGACGAUUUCUGGGUGGAUACAAACGAUCAGGUCGUCGAUGUCUUUCUGGGCACGUUUAUUUGUGUUUUCCAACUAAAAAAACGGGCAGAAGGCGAGAGUUUGUUUCGCACUAGAUGCCUGAUCCCACAGACGUUCAUUCACAGAUUUGCACUUGAAGGAAGUACCUAACUUUCAAACAGCAGAGCCAGUACAGUAACUAAACAAGAGGCUUUGAUUGUAUUUAUCACUGUAAACAGACAGGUUAAUAAAGAAAGAAAAAG